rnacentral:rRNA from 1 species
CCUACGGGAGGCAGCAGUGAGGAAUAUUGGUCAAUGGACGAGAGUCUGAACCAGCCAAGUAGCGUGAAGGAUGACUGCCCUAUGGGUUGUAAACUUCUUUUAUAUGGGCAUAAAAUGUUCCACGUGUGGGCUUUUGUAUGUACCAUAUGAAUAAGGAUCGGCUGACUCCGUGCCCGCAGCCGCGGUAAUACGGAAGAUCCGAGCGUUACUCGGAUUUAUUGGGUUUAAAGGGAGCGUUGGUGGAUUGCUAAGUCAGUGGUGAAAGUUUGCGGCUUAACCCUAAAACUGCAGUUGAAACUGGAAGUCUUGAGUACAGUAGAGGUGGGCGGAAUUCGUGGUGUAGCGGUGAAAUGCUUAGAUAUCACGAAGAACUCCGAUUGCGAAGGCAGUUUACCGGAGUGCAACUGACACUGAGGCUCGAAAGUGUGGGUAUCAAACAGGAUUAGAUACCCGUGUAGUC